UCCUGUCUUAUACGUUCUAAAUAGCAGCCAGGGAAUUGAAACAGCAAGAAAAACUAGGUUUUCUGUGUGUGUAAGGUUUUAUCAAAAACCUGGUUAGAAGGGCCUGGCUGCUUGGAGCAGGGAGGUGGACUAUAAAAGGCCAGACAGCUCACUAGAUGAUGUCUCUGCUCCUGGGAAAAGCUCUGAUCUCGGACCUUCAUUCUACAGCAGACUCAGGUCUACCAUUAUGUUACAGUCUGGUGGCUCACCUGCCGAUCCUAAGGAAAUUGUCCGAGUUCUGUCUACUGUAGAUGCUCUACCUCUAUAACAAGACAUUUUCAUGGGUUCGCUCAUGUCUAUAUACAGCUGUCCGUUCACCUCUGUACAGAAGUCUUGACUCAAAGCCUUUUGUCUUCUUUUUUUUUAUUUUUUUUUGCUCAAUUGCCUUGGACUGGCUUUGUAUAGUUGUGUUAUAUAUUUUCUUUGCUGCUUUUGUAUUUUGUGUGAAAGAAAAGACACGACCAUUCUCCCUGAUAAACAAUUUGGGAUUUUUGUAAAGGUCAUCUGUGCGUCCCGACACAAUGAGACUGAGAGGCAGACAGUGCAGGAGAAGAAUGCAUGAACUAGCUGUCUUGCUGCCAUCACCAUGUUGUCUCUCCGUUGCUGAAAGGCACGUAACUCUGAACAGUCGCCUCUGAGGUUAUUGAGCGUCGGCUUUGUUUGCUGCCAUCGCAGUAACAUCAUAUUCAGAAAAAUCAGCCUAUUACACUGGUGUCACCCACAAGGUCAUGAUAUCAACUUGAUAUAACACAUCAUUACACAUCAGUGUGCUCUAACACAUAAAAAAGUAUAAAACACGGUGGGUUUACACUUAAAGGCUAGGUACACCUUUGGGGGUAUUUUAUUUUUUUAAUGAUUGCAUUCUACUCAUUUUGGGCUAGAAAUCACUCCCACACCCCCACCAAUCCAAACUUCAAAGUGAAGAAGUUUUGGAAAAAGAAAGGUACCCUUUAAAGAAACUGGCUACCGUUUUUGAGUGGUUUGGCGAACCCCCUCCUGGCAAUACCUUCAAAAGGGAAGCAUGCUUACCUGCUCACCACUGCUAUGUCUCAGCUCCUUCAUUCUCCAGCCUUGGCUGCCUUGCUUGGGCCCCCCACUGUCAAUAUCCACUUUGACCUCACUCAGUCAGUAAAUGUCUAGAGCGAUGACCUUUCUUACUUGCAUCACGUGACCAAAAGAAGAGCAGUCAUUGGCUGCAGUGGAGGUAAAGUGGAUGUUGACAGCAGGGGACCCAAGUAAAGCAUCUGAGGCCCGGGAGUGAAUAAACCAGGACCCAUUGGUGGGUAGCAGGUACUGUAAGUUUCCCUUUUGAAUAUCUGGCCAAGAGAGGGGCUUGCCAAAACCCCCCAAAAGGUGGUCAACCCCUUUAAGGAGAAGAACAAAACUGCUGAAGGAUAUUGAUAAAUCCUUCCUAUAGAGCAUGAUGAUUUUAUUCUGCAUUCUUCUAGUUUAUAAUAAAUAAG